rnacentral:rRNA from 1 species
UUGCUAGUAAUGGCAGGUCAGCAUACUGCCGUGAAUACGUUCUCGGGCCUUGUACACACCGCCCGUCACACCAUGAGAGUUGGAAAUACCCGAAGCCUGUGAGCUAACUUAAAGAGGCAGCAGUCGAAGGUAGAGCCAAUGAUUGGGGUGAAGUCGUAACAAGGUAUC